AACGAACGCUGGCGGCAGGCUUAACACAUGCAAGUCGAGCGCCCCGCAAGGGGAGCGGCAGACGGGUGAGUAACGCGUGGGAACGUACCUUUUGGUUCGGAACAACUCCGGGAAACUGGAGCUAAUACCGGAUAAGCCCUAACGGGGAAAGAUUUAUCGCCGAAAGAUCGGCCCGCGUCUGAUUAGCUAGUUGGUGAGGUAACGGCUCACCAAGGCGACGAUCAGUAGCUGGUCUGAGAGGAUGAUCAGCCACACUGGGACUGAGACACGGCCCAGACUCCUACGGGAGGGAGCAGUGGGGAAUAUUGGACAAUGGGGGCAAGGCUGAGCCAGCCAUGCCGCGUGAGUGAUGAAGGCCUUAGGGUUGUAAAGCUCUUUUGUCCGGGAAGAUAAUGACUGUACCGGAAGAAUAAGCCCCGGCUAACUUCGUG
rnacentral:rRNA from 1 species